rnacentral:rRNA from 1 species
UAAAACAACAGAGAAGGAGAGGAGAGCGAGCGUGGGUUGGGGUUGGGGUUGGGGACGGAGAAGGAGAGGGAGAGGGAGAGGGCCGCUACGCGGCGGCGGCCGGAGGUGGGAGAGGGGGAAGGGGAGUGGAAGAGAGGGAGCCGCGAGGGCGUAGGCCCAGCUCGUCCACUCCGGAGCGGCGAGGGUCUAGUCGUCGCGCGGUGUGGUACCGACUACCGAACCGAGCAGGAGCGCCGACUGCGGGUCCAGGCUCCCGGGAGCCUAGACGCGACCGCGCCGACUGCCGCCGACCCAGCCUCCACAAAGUCCCGGUCCACUUGCGGAGGCGGCGGGUUCUGGGGCGGAAGAAGUGUGAAGCGCGCGGCCCUCGCCGUGAAGAAGGAGGCGGCAGAAGGUGGGCCCCUCCUCCCUCGGUUCACACGAAGAAGUGCCGGUUGCUGCGGCGAGGAGGCGCGCUCCUGUCCUAUCCCGACCCACGCGGAGCCAACCCCGUUGAGGGUAGAACUGCUCCGGUACCUCUACCUCGAAGAAGUUCCACGUGUUCUCAAGCGGCAGGUACCCGACCAAAUGUUCCCACCGUUUAUAUUGCGCGUGGCCCUCUCCUCCUCCCCCCGAAGGAUGCGACACAAAACGUAACGGAGGUGGUUGGGUACGCGAAGAAGAAGGUGAGGCCGCACCGACACGUACCGACCAAGUGUUCCUGACGGUGGCACUACCUUCUACGAGCUUCACCGGCGACGGUGGUUUCUGGUUAGGAUGGAGGAGGUUGCGAAGGAGGUGUGCACAAGACGAACGACAUGUCCACGUGUUCUCUAUGCGGCAGGUGUCCGACCGAAUGUUCCUACUGUUCGUGUUGCUCGUGGCCCUCUCCUUCUCCCCCAAGGAUACAACACAAAACGUAGCGGAGGUGGUUGGGGUACGCGAAGAAGAAGGUGAGGCCGUAUCCCGAUCCAGUUACGGGUACUGUGAACGUAGGUUGGCGUUCCAGUCAAAAAGACCAGAGGUCGUUGGUUUUUUUAACACAAAAAGAGGGAAACGUAACUCGAGAGUGUGUGAUCUAUGGUAAGACCUUAAUUCAAAAGACUAUACGUCACAUAGAUAUACGAUCGGAAGUACAUUACGACCUUUAAUCCUUUUGUUGUAUUAGAAACAGAAUUUAUUUGAUGAUGUGUUAUAUCCAAAUGUGAACAGUAAAACAUACCGUUUGUGAUGAACACCUACCCUACAGAUCAACGUAACAGAAGGAAAAGUGCGACUACUAAAAAAUUUAACAAAUAUGAAUAAAUUUAUGGUCAUAAACAACUAACUCCGUAUAGGUAGAACACCCCGUCAGUAUAUCGGUAUGUACGAAACACUAUCAACUACAACGAUUAUUUGAGAUGAAAGAUAAAACAAAUCGGUACGUUAUUAGAGAGUGACACAGACGAGUCAAUUAACUUGUUAUGGGACAAUAACGAUGUACAUGAACUAGUAUAAAACUUCUCUAAUCAAUUACCUGUGAUCCUACUGUACAAAUUCAAAGUACAACUGUUAAUUUCCGAAGACCUACUACGGAAUUGACAGAAAUAAAAACAACAUAACCCCUUGGUUUAUUUUAGUAUGGAAAAACACAAAAGACAACCGGACUACGUAACAUACACCCACAUGACACAUUUAUACUUUUCGUCUACCCCCUUUCUACCCUCAUUAUCGAAAUACUUUUUUUGACUGAAAAUCUUUAGAACCAUAACUACCUCCUUUGUAUUAUUAGUUGCAAAGAAACAAUCUUUAGCAGGUUCAUGUUUCUUUCAUCCGUCUCGGUAGUUUGAAAAAAACCUCUAAUUUCAGUGGAUAACAAACCUCCCCAACGUCUUACCGCGGAUAUGUACUCACUCGAUUGAAUUCACAAU